GCGAGGGAUGAGCCUGAGGUGUCAGCAUCUUCACAGGUCUUUUGAGCCUGCAUGCACAAAAGGGUCUACUGUCCCUGGCUGCUUGAUAAUCUCUGGGAUCCUGCAUCUGCACUUACCAUGUCAGCUGGUCCACCCAGCUUCCUAUCACACUUCAGUUCCAUAAAUGGCUGCCUACAGAGGAAAGCUUCACAUGUGCCUAAAAACUCCCUUCAGAUCGUCAUCAGCCCGUAUUCAGCCACAAGGAGGAGAUCUCAUCAGAGGUGCCUGAAAAGCACCUCAGCCGAAGGCCUCACAUAGAGAGACCUAAGAAUGAAGGCACCUGGACUAGGAAUGUGAAUAUGUGAAAGAACAUGACCGGCCAGGGGCCCUGAGUUAUUGAAUGCAACCCCCUUCAGACACUGCAACACACAGGCUGUGCACCAAGCCUAGUAUGGGAAGGACAGCUUUUCUUCAUGAGGCCUGCCAGGUAAAGCCAGCUAUGAAACAGGAAGUUGACCUUCACCAGACACUGAACCUACUGGCACCUUGAUCUUGGACUUCCCAGCCUUACAAACUGUAAGAAAUAAAUGUCUGUUGUUCAUAA
rnacentral:lncRNA from 10 species